UUCCUAAAAAAGAAAAAAUACAUUAUUAAUUGUUAAAAGUAAUACAGUUGAUAAUUAUAUGUGGAACUUACCUUGGAGUAGGGGCAUCUCACACUAUUAGGAUUAGGGGGGUGGGAAUGUGAGCUUAAGUUAUUACUUUGCAUCACUUUUAGUCUUCAGGAAGCCACCAUGUUGACACUUAAUUGCCCACACUUCUUAUUCCUGCAGUAUAUUAUACAAUAAGUAUGCUAAAACAUAUACACACUUACUGUGUAUACUGUGCAAAAGGCGAUAGAGAGAGUGUCAGAGCGCUGUCGUGCUAGCCAGUAUGGGGACUUUUAUCAUGAAACGCGCUUAUCGCGGAUAGCCGGAAGAAACGCUGUUCAUUACUCGGAGAUCGGCAGACUGCCUCCGCCACUGCUCGCGAUCGGGUUUUCUGCUUAAACUAGUGUUGGAGACGUGCAUCGUCAUUAAUAUCAGCCACAGUUUGGAUGUAAUCUGUGUUGUGUGCGUCCUAUAAGAGAGAAACCACACCGUCCACCACAAUCAUACAUCUCAUGCUUCUACUGAUAUGUACCCAGCCCUCUCAAGAAGACAAGAUCUGUGAAAGACAGUACUUAAUUCUCCCUCUAACUGGCUCACGCCUCCCAUCAUUCUCAGCAACCCCUGUAUGCUUAUUAGCAGUGGUCCCAGAGCCUAUACUGAGCAGAGAGUAUUCAUUCCUCUGGAUGUUUCCAAGGAGGCCUCCUUGUCUCUAUCACAUACACCACUUUGGGCCCACUGCAGUCCUCAAGUCUAUCUGUCCACAUCCUGUUAGUAGGAACUGACUGAUGUGCAUGUAAAGGCUGACUCCCCUCUCUGAUUUGAUUAUACCGCAUCUGUGAAAAUAAACCUGUUCAAACUGCUACUUCCCUCUGUGGUGUUCUGACCGACACACCUGGUUCACUGCGAUUCAAGCUAGCCCUAACAGUAUAAGGUAGCCCUUCGCUACAUAUACUGAGACUCAAAGCACCAGGGGUGGGGACUAAGAUCCUGUCACUUCUAGGUCUUCCAGGGUAACGUUGUAGUAUUCCCCUACUAGGCGGGACCUAAGAGCCUGUUACAAUAAUUUACGAGUUGGCUAUUUCGUAUGGUCUAGCAUGAUGUUGUUGGCAUAAACUCCUACAACUUCAUCACAUGCAAAUUCUCUGAUGUCUAAUGCGGAAGUAAACGUGAGUUCCGCGCAUGAGGCGUUAAGGACAUUCUUAUUAAAAUUAUACCCUUACCCAAACCCCUUAUCUAAACUUAUCCAAUCAGUAGAGUGUGUAAACAUGAUAGGAAGCUGUUGUGUGUGACGGAAGCAAGCAAUUGUCACAUAUUAGAUGGAAAGGAUGUCCAGCGACGUCACUGGCUGUAGUGAAAUUCGUAGGAAUUCAGACCAGUGCAGUCGCACAAUAUCAUACGAACUAGCCAAAUUUAGAAGAUUCAUAUGAAUCCUGACGAUUUCGCCAUGAGAGUGUGUUGCGUAAAACCGUCCACAAGUUGAAAUGUAAGUAGGAAAAGCUGUAAUAUCUGCUUGUUUUGGGGUGACAACACAUCCUUUCCCUCAGAGGGAAAGUCAGACCGGGAUUUUUAAAUUGCCUAAAAUGCCAGGGAUUUGCCUGUUUUCAUAUUGAAGUGCUCUCUGUAGUCAUAUAUGGAUACAUGUAAUGAAUAACGUGUUCUUUUGCCAUUUAAACCUAGCAUAUUAGUUAAGCUUUGUGUGUCUCCCUCAAUCUCAGCGCCCACUGCACGUGUGAUAGAGGGAGAGAGAGAGAGCGCACUCUUAUUCAAGUAACUACGAGAAAAAGGCACUUUUUGAUGAAAAUAUAAAACAAGUAACCUUGAACAAACACUUCGAUGUUUGCAAUAAAUAUGUCUGAAAAUGU